UAUGUUUACUUUUGGUUGUGAUGUAGCUUUGUAUAAUGCCUGCUUGCUCUCUCUUCAACCCCACUGUUACUGCAUGUUGAUGAAAUGGUAAUCAUGACUUCUCUAUCUUCAUACAGAUUCUUACGAGAAGGCAAGAGGGAAACAGAAAGAAGCAGAGAUGGUGCAUUACAUGCAACUACCCGGAGUAUCAUUCAGAUCUACAGACUGAUCUACUUACUGAUUUUGAUGAUGAAGGUGUGGGGCCUCGUCAUUCAAAGAGAAAACCAAAGAAGUAGCUGCUGGACUACGUCCGUCUUGUAUUGCCGACUGGCGGCUGAGCACAACAUGUCGGCGCCAAUAAAACAAGAAAUGACAGAUACAGACAACAAGAUUUGGAGCCGGGAGGCCGAGGUGGCGUUACUAGAAGAAGUGAGGCAGCACAGAUACUUGUGGGAGCCACAAGAUAAGCUGUAUGAGAAGCUGAGUCUACGCAAAACAACUUUUGAGAGAGUGGCAGCAACAUCCGAGAAAUGUUUAUCUCUGCGAGAUAUCGAAGGAGGUAAGGAACGAUUAUUUUCGUGUAUUAUAUAAUCACACUAUGUAAUGCCUGGGAUGGCAUGUUCCUCCCUUCUCCUUUGUUGUUAAAUGCAACAAUGAACAAUCAAUCAAUCAAUACUACUGAAGGUAAAACUCGCUUACUUAAAGUAUUUCUACAAUAUUAGGCUAAUGGACCAAACUCAUUGUGGUUUUAAUAUAUGGUAGUAGCCUUUUGGGGUGUCUGGGAUGAAUUCAUGCCCUUGCAUUUACUAGCAGUUUACGUCUUGAUGCUCCCGGCGGCUCCUCCCACGUGUGAACGUACUUGCUCCCGAGAGCACCCAGCUGGUCUAGCCGCUAGAUCGUCGCGGCUGUAUUGCCGGCCAUGAAUUGCCAGGUGUAAAGCCGCCUUUAGUCUGUGAUUCACUGAGGUUUAUAAGGAUGUGGAAAAGAUCGGCGAGGCUGGAGGGCAAAAAAGAAGAGGAGUGUGUGGUACCAUCUACCUGGAUAGUUGAAGGCAGCCAGAUUUUAUAUUGGCCAUCAAAAGUUGAUGCUCACAAUGCCCUAACUAGUCGAGAAGACCCAGACCCCAGAUCAUGGAGAAAAUUUCCAUUGAUAAAAGUAAAAAUAGCUUCUGACAGUUACGAGGAAUGUGAGACAUCAGCAGUAGACAGUGACAGAAGCAGCAGUGACCUGGAUGGGGAAGACGGUUUGACCUUGCGUGGUAGGAAGAAACGUAUGAAGAAAGCUCUGCCAAAGGACUUUAUUAGUAGUCAGGAUUUGGAUUGUCCACACUUUGCCUCAGGGCCAUCUUUACAAGUAACAGUUGCUCCCCCCACCACAAAAGGUUGUCCCACACAACCAUCAACACAAAGGCUUGCCAAGUGCAGCAAGAAACAAAUCUGAAAAGACAUAAUUCUGACAGAUGUGAAAGUAACCAGCAAAAGAAGAGUAGUUACCAACAGCAAGAUGAAGGCAGUCAGCCUGAUACCCUACACAAAAGACAUGACAGUCGUGGCUGACGCAGCAGACAUGACAGUCAUGACCAACACAACAGACAUGACAGCAGUGACCGAUGCAGCAGGCAUGACAGUCAUGACCGACACAACAGACAUGACAGUCGUGACCGACAUGA